AAUAGAUACCCGGGUAGUCCACGCCGUAAACGAUGAAUGCUAGGUGUUAGGGGUUUCGAUACCCUUGGUGCCGAAGUUAACACAUUAAGCAUUCCGCCUGGGGAGUACGGUCGCAAGACUGAAACUCAAAGGAAUUGACGGGGACCCGCACAAGCAGUGGAGUAUGUGGUUUAAUUCGAAGCAACGCGAAGAACCUUACCAGGUCUUGACAUCCCUCUGACCGGUACAGAGAUGUACUUUCCCUUCGGGGCAGAGGAGACAGGUGGUGCAUGGUUGUCGUCAGCUCGUGUCGUGAGAUGUUGGGUUAAGUCCCGCAACGAGCGCAACCCUUGAUCUUAGUUGCCAGCACCUUGGGUGGGCACUCUAAGAUGACUGCCGGUGACAAACCGGAGGAAGGUGGGGAUGACGUCAAAUCAUCAUGCCCCUUAUGACCUGGGCUACACACGUACUACAAUGGCCGGUACAACGGGCUGCGAAAUCGCGAGAUGGAGCCAAUCCCACCAAAGCUGGUCUCAGUUCGGAUUGCAGGCUGC
rnacentral:rRNA from 1 species